rnacentral:ribozyme from 1 species
ACAUUCUGUCGUUCUGUAAAAGAGUUGGAACCGACGCCCCUAGGAGGCUACUAUAGGCUCUCCUUCUCAACUCCAACUCAAUACGUCCACGUCGUGCAGAACGGUAACUUGU